rnacentral:rRNA from 1 species
GUGGGGAAUAUUGGACAAUGGGGGGAACCCUGAUCCAGCCAUGCCGCGUGUGUGAAGAAGGCCUUUUGGUUGUAAAGCACUUUAAGCGAGGAGGAGGCUACCGAGAUUAAUACUCUUGGAUAGUGGACGUUACUCGCAGAAUAAGCACCGGCUAACUCUGUGCCAGCAGCCGCGGUAAUACAGAGGGUGCAAGCGUUAAUCGGAUUUACUGGGCGUAAAGCGCGCGUAGGUGGCCAAUUAAGUCAAAUGUGAAAUCCCCGAGCUUAACUUGGGAAUUGCAUUCGAUACUGGUUGGCUAGAGUAUGGGAGAGGAUGGUAGAAUUCCAGGUGUAGCGGUGAAAUGCGUAGAGAUCUGGAGGAAUACCGAUGGCGAAGGCAGCCAUCUGGCCUAAUACUGACACUGAGGCACGAAACCUAAGGUAGCGAAUGGGAUUAGAAACCCGAGUAGUCC